rnacentral:lncRNA from 1 species
UACAUUUCAGGCCUGGUUCUCAUUUCUAUGUAUACAACUUGGAUAGUUUUAUGAUUAAUAUGCUGGAUAUGAUACCAUGAUUUGAUAUUGCGUUUGUUGGAUGUUUAAUAAAUGUUAUCCAAACUAAUUGCCUCUAGUUGGUAAUGAUGUAAUUCGAUUUUCAUAGGUUGUUUUUGAUAUCAAUAAUCAAAUUUUUUAGAUAUGUGCAACAGAUCACUGUGAAUAUAUGCGUAACAGGUCACUGUGUAGUGUAAUAAGUGUGAGUGAAGUAUGUUUGAAUUUAUAACUCAAAUCCAAUGAUUUAAUUGCUAAUUUGAGAAUGGAAUGGUAGUGUUUAUGUCAAGUGUUCAUUUUCUUCUUAUUUGUGUACAACUUUAAUAACAUGUCAUAAUGCUAUUAAGUAUUAUUCCACCAGUCCAAGAGUAAUUCCUUUUCCUUAGAAUUUUCGAUAGCUUCUCGGGGGCGUAGAAGGCUUAUUAAUAUACAGAUUUUGUUAAGUAUAAGCUCAAUAGAAGUAGUCCGGUGUUAAGUAAAUUCCUUGUCAUCAUGUACAUACGGGGUUGUUCCAAAUUGUGCAACAUAGGACUAAAAAGAACUUUUUCUUUGAGGUAAUUACCUUCACGCACAAGGUUCUCUUAUUUGCCAGAAGAAAAUAAUAAGAGUUCCUUGAUGAAAAAUUCCCAUGUCAUAAUCGAUUGCUCCGCUCGUAAGGUUUGAAACCAAAUGUUCAAUCACUACAACGUUGCAUAUAUAGGUUAGUAAGUUGAGCCCAAAUGAUGUCGGUAUUAACUAUGACACCCACAAGCGGAACACUAUUCAGAUUACGGAAACCUUCAUAUUUCGGGGGUGGUGUAGGCAUACAGUGACUUAGAUCAGAUGAGUCAAUUCUGAACAUGAAAACAAAUAAGAUGGUAUUUUGUAGGCACUGGUUGUACGAUUGUGAAGUUUCACUUCCCUAACUCCACAGUUUGAUAUGUUUUUAAUCCAAAUAUCUAUAUCUGAAUAGAGAUGAAGAGGCAGAUCAUUAGGAUUGCAAAGAAUAAACUUCAAUAUGAGACCUCCACAAGAUAAAAGAAUACUGCUGCCGGUUAUUGAAAAUUCAUAUAGUUUAGUUUCUCUAAUUCUGAAAGGAAACCUCUGAGAAAGCCGGUUGAAGAAAAGGUCAUCAAAAACUAGGUGUGAGUGCAUUUCCCAUAUACCCCUUUAUGUUUUUGAGAGAAUGCUCAUUCUUGCUACACAGUCAACCGGCAAUCACUUUUGAAUUAGGUCUAGUAAGUCACUGGGCAUGUCACUUUUGAAUUAGACCUUAUUCUAUAGCGAUUGCCGGUUGACUGUAUUGCAAGAAUGUGCAUUCUCUCAAAAACAUGGAGGGGUAAAUGAGAAAUGGACCCACACCUAGUUUUUGAUGACCUUUUCUUCAACCGGCUUUCUUAGAGGUUUCCUUCCAGAAGUAGAGAAACUAAACUAUAUGAAUUUUCAAGAACCGUCAGCAGUAGUCUUUUAUCUCGUAGUGGUAUCAUAUUGAAGUUUGUUCUUUGCAUUCCUCAUGAUUUGAUUCUUCAUCUCUAUUUAGAUAUAGUUAUUUGGAUUAAAAACAUAACAAACAAUGGAGUUAGGGAAGUGCAACGUCAUAAUCGUACUUUGGCUGCCUACAAAAUACCAUCUUAUUUGUUUUCCUGUUCAGAGUUGACUCAUUUGUUUCUAAGUUGUAUGCUAACACCACCCCGGAAAUUUGAAGACUUCCGUAAUCUGAUUACUGUUUUGCUUGUGGGUGUCAUAAUUACAACUGACAUUUCAUUUGGGGCUCAACUUGUUGACCUACAUUUGCAACGUUGCAUUGGGAUUGAACUUUUGGGAUGUCAAUAUAAAUAUUAUAUCAAUCUCACUUUUCUGAGUAUUAGCCAUUGUGAUGUAAUUGGAUCAAAUUUCUUGUAUAUAAUCCCAUGUGAAGCAAACACACGAAUUUAGCUCUAUACAUUUCAGGCCUGGUUCUCAUUUCUAUGUAUACAACUUGGAUAGUUUUAUGAUUAAUAUGCUCGAUAUGAUUUUAAUAAAUGUUAUCCAAACUAAUUGCCUCUAGUUGGUAAUGAUGUAAUUCGAUUUUCAUAGGUAGUUUUUGAUAUCAAUAAUCAAAUUUUUUAGAUAUGUGCAAUAGAUCACUGUGAAUAUAUGCGUAACAGGUCACUGUGAAGUGUAAUAAGUGUGGUGAAGUAUGUUUGAAUUUAUAACUCAAAUCCAAUGAUUUAAUUGCUAAUUUGAGAAUGGAAUGGUACUGUUUAUGUCAAGUGUUCAUUUUCUUCUUAUUUGUGUACAACUUUAAUAACAUGUCAGAAUGCUAUUAAGUAUUAUUCCACCGGUCCAAGAGUAUUUCCUUUUCCUUAGAAUUUUCGAUAGCUUCCCGGGGGCGUAGAAGGCUUAUUAAUAUACAGAUUUUGUUAAGCAUAAGCUCAAUAGAAGUAGUUGGGUGUUGAGUAAAUUCCUUGUCAUCAUGUACAUACGGGGUUGUUCCUAAUUGUGCAACAUAGGACUAAAAAGAACUUUUUCUUUGAGGUAAUUACCUUCACGCACAAGGUUCUCUUAUUUGCCAGAAGAAAAUAAUAAGAGUUCCGCGAUGAAAAAUUCCCAUGUCAUAAUUGAUUGCUCCGCUCGUAAGGUUUGAAAUCAAAUGUUCAAUCACACUACAACGUUGCCAAUAUAGGUUAGUAAGUUGAGCCCAAAUGAUGUCAGUAUUAACUAUGACACCCACAAGCGGAACACUAUUCAGAUUACGGAAACCUUCAUAUUUCGGGGGUGGUGUAGGCAUACAGUGACUUAGAUCAGAUGAGUCAAUUCUGAACAUGAAAACAAAUAAGAUGGUAUUUUGUAGGCACUGGUUGUACGAUUGUGAAGUUUCACUUCCCUAACUCCACAGUUUGAUAUGUUUUUAAUCCAAAUAUCUAUAUCUGAAUAGAGAUGAAGAGGCAGAUCAUUAGGAUUGCAAAGAAUAAACUUCAAUAUGAGACCUCCACAAGAUAAAAGAAUACUGCUGCCGGUUAUUGAAAAUUCAUAUAGUUUAGUUUCUCUAAUUCUGAAAGGAAACCUCUGAGAAAGCCGGUUGAAGAAAAGGUCAUCAAAAACUAGGUGUGAGUGCAUUUCCCAUAUACCCCUCUAUGUUUUUGAGAGAAUGCUCAUUCUUGCUACACAGUCAACCGGCAAUCACUUUUGAAUUAGGUAUAGUAAGUCACAGGGCAUGUCACUUUUGAAUUAGACCUUAUUCUAUAGCGAUUGCCGGUUGACUGUAUUGCAAGAAUGUGCAUUCUCUCAAAAACAUGGAGGGGUAAAUGAGAAAUGCACCCACACCUAGUUUUUGAUGACCUUUUCUUCAAUCGGCUUUCUUAGAGGUUUACUUCCAGAAUUAGAGAAACUAAACUAUAUGAAUUUUCAAGAACCGUCAGCAGUAGUCUUUUAUCUCGUAGUGGUAUCAUAUUGAAGUUUGUUCUUUGCAUUCCUCAUGAUUUGUUUCUUCAUCUCUAUUUAGAUAUAGUUAUUUGGAUUAAAAACAUAACAAACAAUGGAGUUAGGGAAGUGCAACUUCAUAAUCGUAUAUUGAGUGCCUACAAAAUACCAUCUUAUUUGUUUUCCUGUUCAGAGUUGACUUAUUUGAUUCUAAGUUGUAUGCUCACACCACCCCGGAAAUUUGAAGACUUCCGUAAUCUGAUUACUGUUUUGCUUGUGGGUGUCAUAAUUACAACUGGCAUUUCAUUUGGUGCUCAACUUGUUGACCUACAUUUGCAACGUUGCAUUGGGAUUGAACUUUUGGGAUGUCAAUAUAAAUAUUAUAUCAAUCUCACUUUUCUGAGUAUUAGCCAUUGUGAUGUAAUUGGAUCAAAUUUCUUGUAUAGAAUCCCAUGUGAAGGAAACACACGAAUUUAGCUCUAUACAUUUCAGGCCUGGUUCUCAUUUCUAUGUAUACAACUUGGAUAGUUUUAUGAUUAAUAUGCUCGAUAUGAUUUUAAUAAAUGUUAUCCAAACUAAUUGCCUCUAGUUGGUAAUGAUGUAAAUCGAUUUUCAUAGGUAGUUUUUGAUAUCAAUAAUCAAAUUUUUUAGAUAUAUGCAACAGAUCACUGUGAAUAUAUGCGUAACAGGUCACUGUGAAGUGUAAUAAGUGUGAGUGAAGUAUGUUUGAAUUUAUAACUCAAAUCCAAUGAUUUAAUUGCUAAUUUGAGAAUGGAAUGGUACUGUUUAUGUCAAGUGUUCAUUUUCUUCUUAUUUGUGUACAACUUUAAUAACAUGUCAGAAUGCUAUUAAGUAUUAUUCCAUCGGUCCAAGAGUAAUUCCUUUUCCUUAGAAUUUUCGAUAGCUUCUCGGGGGCGUAGAAGGCUUAUUAAUAUACAGAUUUUGUUAAGUAUAAGCUCAAUAGAAGUAGUCCGGUGUUAAGUAAAUUCCUUGUCAUCAUGUACAUACGGGGUUGUUCCUAAUUGUGCAACAUAGGACUAAAAAGAACUUUUUCUUUGAGGUAAUUACCUUCACGCACAAG